GUAUUUCGAAAGUGUUUGGUUCAAAAGAUUUGUGUAGCUGAUAGUUAUUCCUCAGUUAAUAAUUAUAUUAAAGCGUUUGAUAAAAACUUAAAAAUCAACAGAUGAUAGCUGAUUUAGUCUUAAUCAGCUCCUCACUGUAUCAUCUUUAUUUUUAAUCUUUUUUUUAUCAACCGAUCGAUAAUUUGAUUUUUAUUUAUUUAUUUGAAUAAUUAUUAUUCGUAUUAAAAUUUAUUAAUACUAACUUACUUUAAGUUAAUCUCAUAUAAUAUUUUUCUUAUAAUUCAUAAUGAAUUAUUAUUAUUUUAAUACUAUACUUAAUAGUUGAAUAAUUAUGAUAUGUAUAAAUUAUGGCAUUUGAAAUUAGAAUUUUUUUUAUUAUUGGAAGUUAAAUUCUAAUUCCCACUUUUAGAAUACGAAUUAAAUAAAUUUAAUUAUAAUAUUUUUAAUUAUUAUAAACUAUUUUUUAAAUUUGUAUUAUUGAAGAUGAUAUAAUAAAAUAGAAUAUAUUUAAAAAUAAAUUAUACUCUUAAUAGUCAUCUAACACACUAACAGCAAUCGCUAAUAGAAUUCUACCAAACAGUUCAAUUUAUCAGCAACCGGCUAUAAACCAUCAACUACCAGCCAUCAGCUGUAUUAAUCAAUCGAAUCAAAUACACCAUUUAUUAUCAAUGGUUGUGUCAAUAAAAAUGGCCGAAAAAUUGAUAGAUAUCCUAAAUUGGAAAAUUAGAGAUAAAUAUACCAAAAAAUUAAAUAUUAGUACCAAUUGGAUAUUAUAUCCAGAAGUUUGACACUAAGAAGCAAUUCACCCGAUCCUGAAUUAUCUCCAGU
rnacentral:lncRNA from 1 species